GGGCGGUUAGCUCAGAGGUUAGAGCACUGUCUUCACAUGGCAGGGGUCACAGGUUCAAAUCCUGUACCGCCCACCA
rnacentral:tRNA from 1 species